rnacentral:rRNA from 1 species
UACGAGUGCCCCAAGCGUUAUCCGGAAUCAUUGGGCGUAAAGGGGUGUGUAGGUGGUUGUGUUAGUCUUCUGUUAAAUUCUUCGGCCUAACCGGGGGCAUGCAGGGGAAACGGCACAACUAGAGGAUGCGAAAGGUGAAUGGAACUCAUGGAGUAGGGGUGAAAUCCGUUGAUAUCAUGGGGAACACCGAAUGCGAAGGCAAUUCACUGGCGGCACUCCUGACACUGAGACACGAAAGCGUAGGUAGCGAAUGGG